rnacentral:rRNA from 1 species
GACGAACGCUGGCGGCGUGCUUAACACAUGCAAGUCGAACGGAAAGGCCCUGCUUUUGUGGGGUGCUCGAGUGGCGAACGGGUGAGUAACACGUGAGUAACCUGCCCUUGACUUUGGGAUAACUUCAGGAAACUGGGGCUAAUACCGGAUAGGAGCUCCUGCUGCAUGGUGGGGGUUGGAAAGUUUCGGCGGUUGGGGAUGGACGGGCGGCUUAUCAGCUUGUUGGUGGGGUAGUGGCUUACCAAGGCUUUGACGGGUAGCCGGCCUGAGAGGGUGACCGGCGACAUUGGGACUAAGGUACGGCCCAGACGCCUACGGGAGGCAGCAGUGGGGAAUAUUGCACAAUGGGCGGAAGCGUGAUGCAGCAACGCCGCGUGCGGGAUGACGGCCUUCGGGUUGUAAACCGCUUUCGCCUGUGACGAAGCGUGAGUGACGGUAAUGGGUAAAGAAGCACCGGCUAACUACGUG